rnacentral:rRNA from 1 species
ACGGAGGGUGCAAACGUUGCUCGGAAUUAUUGGGCGUAAAGCGCACGUAGGCGGUUUCAUAAGUCGGAUGUGAAAGCCCUAGGCUUAACCAAGGAAGUGCAUUCGAAACUGCGAAACUUGAGUAUGGGAGAGGGUUGUGGAAUUCCCGGUGUAGAGGUGAAAUUCGUAGAUAUCGGGAGGAACACCAGUGGCGAAGGCGACAACCUGGACCAACACUGACGCUGAGGUGCGAAAGCGUGGGGAGCAAACAGG